rnacentral:rRNA from 1 species
UACGGGGGGGGCAAGCGUUGUUCGGAAUUACUGGGCGUAAAGGGCUCGUAGGCGGCCAACUAAGUCGGACGUGAAAUCCCUCGGCUUAACCGGGGAACUGCGUCCGAUACUGGAUGGCUUGAGAUUGGGAGAGGGAUGCGGAAUUCCAGGUGUAGCGGUGAAAUGCGUAGAUAUCUGGAGGAACACCGGUGGCGAAGGCGGCAUUCUGGACCGGUAUUGACGCUGAGGCGCGAAAGCCAGGGGAGCAAACGGG